rnacentral:lncRNA from 1 species
AUAUCAAAGAAUACAAAACAGUUUGUUUUAUUGUAAAUAAAACUAGAUAGCUGACAUGGUUUGAAUUAAAGUAAGGUCACAUAUUUCCCGGUAUCAAAUAAUUUGAAGAAAAAAAACAAGGUAUUGCCAUGUAUGACCUUUUACAUUGAAAGGUUAAACUUGCAUUAAGUCGUGUUGAGACCCUUUAACAGAUAAUAAAGGAGUAUGGGGACAUAAUCGCACACAAAGUCAAUGCAUAGAAAAAAUACAAAUGAUCAAUGGUCAAAGUUUGUGUUCCUGCUCUUCAUCUUGAUAGUUGUCGGAUGGUCUUCAACAAUACUUUUAAAGAAUCAUUAAUACCGUAAAAGAUCGUAAAACAAGGUGAAGAUGGUCCCUAGUGUGGACUUAAGCAGUACUAGUACUUAAAGU